UCCGCGCAAGGGCUGGCCCGACGGCGGGGAAGGAGGAGGCUCCAGCCUCUGCUGCUCCCAGCGGCUCCGCCCGGCAUCGCGCUCCCGCUCGCCUGCCUGGGUCGGGCCUUCCUCUCGCCUCUCCUCCUGCCGCUCGCUCUCCUCCUUCUCGCGGGCGAUGGCGGCGCUCCACGGGGCGGCCACCAAGGCCGGCGCCCCGCCGCAGAUCCCGGACACCCGUCGCGAGCUGGCCGAGCUGGUCAAGCGCAAGCAGGAGCUGGCCGAGACGCUGGCCAACUUGGAGCGUCAGAUCUACGCCUUCGAGGGCAGCUACCUGGAAGAUACCCAGAUGUACGGCAACAUCAUCCGAGGCUGGGACCGCUACCUGACCAACCAGAAGAACUCCAACAGCAAGAAUGACCGACGGAAUCGCAAGUUCAAAGAAGCCGAGCGCCUUUUCAGCAAGUCUUCAGUCACAUCAGCUGCUGCGGUCAGCGCACUGGCAGGAGUUCAGGACCAGCUCAUUGAAAAACGGGAGCCUGGCAGUGGGACGGAGAGCGACACCUCCCCAGACUUCCACAACCAGGAGAACGAACCGAGCCAAGAAGAAGCGGAAGAGCUGGACGGCUCCGUCCAAGGGGUGAAGCCCCAGAAGGCAGCAUCCUCCACUUCGGGCAGCCACCACAGUAGCCACAAAAAACGGAAGAACAAAAAUCGACACAGCCCGUCUGGCAUGUUUGAUUAUGACUUUGAGUAUGUAUAUUAGGUUAGGCUGGCAAGUUUUUUAAAAUACAGACAAAAGCGCAUUGGAGGAUUGAUCUCAAAUUGAACAAAAAGCCCCGAGCUGAUUACUAGAUGCCUCCAAGCUGAAUCUUCCAAGAGCCUGUCUGCCUUCCGCCCCAAAUCCCAGCCCUCACAGGAGACUGAAUAAGCACAAGGCCAGCUCUUUCCCAUCCCAGACUGCCCAGGUCUCCUGCUCAGCUCAGCUCAGAUGAUGUUGAUGGGGACAAUCUGUGACAGCAGCAGCAGCUGCUCCUUCUUUGCUUCCUUCCUUCUCAGCUGUUCGGCGACAGACGCCCACCUUGGAUUGGCCAGCCUCACUGCUGCUGUUCCAUCAUGUGUAAAACAACCAUCAGGAAAUGCUCUUGUUGAUGUUUCCUUCUGUUUCUUCUGGUUGAUUAUAACCCAUUUUUUUGUCU